UUACGCAUUCUUAUUACUUUUCUAGAAGGCCAUGUUGAUCUUUACGCUUCCUAUAGUGUGAAUGAGCACAAUUGUCUUGACCCAACUCGUAUAAAAGUGAGAGAGGCUCUCAGUAAAGCAUUGUGGGACAGAAGCCGCAGUGAUGUUUCUCUUCAAGUCUACACUGCAGUGGAUAUCAAUCAACUUGCCAUGGAUGUUGAGCACUCUAUUUUCUCGUGCACCUUUCUGGAUUGCCCAAGCUACAAGACUAAGUAUCGACAACUGUACUUCAGCAUUAGAGAUCUCAGCAACAGACUCUACAGGAAAAUUAUUGAACGAUCCCUCCCUUUUGAUGAAUUGGUCAUGCUACCAAUUGGGAGCUGGCCAACGAAGCAACGAAAGAUUGGAGGAAGCUCUUAGUCAAACACCAACUCGAUUCUGUUCGAAUGAACGAAGUUACUAAGAUGAACAGCCAUGAAGUGUGUUUUGUCAAAACAGUCGAAGGGGAUGCUGUUGUACCCAAAACAGAAUUUGAACAGUUUGAAGAUCACUCAGAACCAAUCCGGAACAAAACUGUUGUUUUAGCAGAUGUCUAUGACUUAAUUUCAGACUUCACUGGCCAUCAUCCGUCCCAUGAACACCAUCAGUUCAUCACUGGUGUAGCAUUUGCCGAAAAGAAGAAGAAUGCCAUAAAAUUCCGUCUAAACGCAGCUCACGAUCCACCGGACUACGAACGAAAUGCGUGGAAGGCUCUUCGAAUCGACAGGUGGUUCUGGAAUCGCCGCUUACACCGCGCAGUGAUUACUCGCGUCUAAUACACUUGCAGAUUUCUGCAUUGAGAACGGAAUUGCAAAGGCGCCCGCAAGACGACCAGCUUUUAAAUUGGAUGCUUUGGUGAGAAAGAGAGCCAACUUCUGGUGAUUUUUUUUAAAUUAUCUUACACUUUGAUAAUUUGUGCUGAAAAUUCUCUUGGUACCGUAAGUAUCUUCUACAGUUAUUUGCUUGUUAUUUGAAAAUAUGAUAUAAUAUAAAAUUUGAUACAUAUUUUAGGUGAAUGGAUCGAAACUAUGCGCCGUUCUGGACUUAGCGUGGCUAAAUAUUUUGGAGUAAAUAUACGAUUUUUGAUCUCCACUUUGCACGAAUUUGAAGUCGUAGCGACUACAUUUAAGAUAUUAAUGCGCGAAGUUAAUUUACUUUCUCGAUCAGCGCCUGAGCUACAGUAUAACUCGAUUUUAAUCCAAACUGAGUUUCAGCGCAUUGUGAUUGAUGGGCUAGGGGAUCCUGUCUUUCUUCAAAAACUACUUAAAUUGCGUGCCGCUCGGCGAUGGUUAUCGCUGGAGACCUCA